rnacentral:rRNA from 1 species
UAAUUUGAGAGUUUGAUCCUGGCUCAGGACGAACGCUGGCGGCGUGCCUAAUACAUGCAAGUCGAACGAACUCUGGUAUUGAUUGGUGCUUGCAUCAUGAUUUACAUUUGAGUGAGUGGCGAACUGGUGAGUAACACGUGGGAAACCUGCCCAGAAGCGGGGGAUAACACCUGGAAACAGAUGCUAAUACCGCAUAACAACUUGGACCGCAUGGUCCGAGCUUGAAAGAUGGCUUCAGCUAUCACUUUUGGAUGGUCCCGCGGCGUAUUAGCUAGAUGGUGGGGUAACGGCUCACCAUGGCAAUGAUACGUAGCCGACCUGAGAGGGUAAUCGGCCACAUUGGGACUGAGACACGGCCCAAACUCCUACGGGAGGCAGCAGUAGGGAAUCUUCCACAAUGGACGAAAGUCUGAUGGAGCAACGCCGCGUGAGUGAAGAAGGGUUUCGGCUCGUAAAACUCUGUUGUUAAAGAAGAACAUAUCUGAGAGUAACUGUUCAGGUAUUGACGGUAUUUAACCAGAAAGCCACGGCUAACUACGUGCCAGCAGCCGCGGUAAUACGUAGGUGGCAAGCGUUGUCCGGAUUUAUUGGGCGUAAAGCGAGCGCAGGCGGUUUUUUAAGUCUGAUGUGAAAGCCUUCGGCUCAACCGAAGAAGUGCAUCGGAAACUGGGAAACUUGAGUGCAGAAGAGGACAGUGGAACUCCAUGUGUAGCGGUGAAAUGCGUAGAUAUAUGGAAGAACACCAGUGGCGAAGGCGGCUGUCUGGUCUGUAACUGACGCUGAGGCUCGAAAGUAUGGGUAGCAAACAGGAUUAGAUACCCUGGUAGUCCAUACCGUAAACGAUGAAUGCUAAGUGUUGGAGGGUUUCCGCCCUUCAGUGCUGCAGCUAACGCAUUAAGCAUUCCGCCUGGGGAGUACGGCCGCAAGGCUGAAACUCAAAGGAAUUGACGGGGGCCCGCACAAGCGGUGGAGCAUGUGGUUUAAUUCGAAGCUACGCGAAGAACCUUACCAGGUCUUGACAUACUAUGCAAAUCUAAGAGAUUAGACGUUCCCUUCGGGGACAUGGAUACAGGUGGUGCAUGGUUGUCGUCAGCUCGUGUCGUGAGAUGUUGGGUUAAGUCCCGCAACGAGCGCAACCCUUAUUAUCAGUUGCCAGCAUUAAGUUGGGCACUCUGGUGAGACUGCGGGUGACAAACCGGAGGAAGGUGGGGAUGACGUCAAAUCAUCAUGCCCCUUAUGACCUGGGCUACACACGUGCUACAAUGGAUGGUACAACGAGUUGCGAACUCGCGAGAGUAAGCUAAUCUCUUAAAGCCAUUCUCAGUUCGGAUUGUAGGCUGCAACUCGCCUACAUGAAGUCGGAAUCGCUAGUAAUCGCGGAUCAGCAUGCCGCGGUGAAUACGUUCCCGGGCCUUGUACACACCGCCCGUCACACCAUGAGAGUUUGUAACACCCAAAGUCGGUGGGGUAACCUUUUAGGAACCAGCCGCCUAAGGUGGGACAGAUGAUUAGGGUGAAGUCGUAACAAGGUAGCCGUAGGAGAACCUGCGGCUGGAUCACCUCCUUU